GCACUGCUGAGGAGUCUCAGAAUCGAACGAGACGGCCGUCCAGUGC
rnacentral:hammerhead_ribozyme from 1 species